rnacentral:tRNA from 1 species
AUUUACAUAAUAUAAUUUAAGUAUAAUUAACUUCCAAUUAAUAAGUUUAUUCUUUUAAUGUAAAUA